GAUGAACGCUGGCGGCGUGCCUAAUACAUGCAAGUCGAGCGGACGGACGCGACGCUUGCUUCUCUGAUGUUAGCGGCGGACGGGUGAGUAACACGUGUAUCCCCUACCUAUAAGUCUGGGAUAACUUCGGGACACCGGAGCUAAUCCGGGAUGAUAUUCUGAUCCGCAUGGUUCAAAAGUGAAAGACGGUCUUUCUGUCACUUAUAGAUGCAUCCGGGCUGCAUUAGCUAGUUGUUAAGGUCACGGCUUUCCAAGGCAACGAUGCAUAGCCGACCUAAGAGAGUGAUCGGCCACACGGGAACUGAGACACGGUCCAGACUCCUACGGGAGGCAGCAGUAGGGAAUCGUCCGCAAUGGGCGAAAGCCUGACGGAGCAACGCCGCGUGAGUGAUGAAGGUCUUCGGAUCGUAAAACUCUGUUAUUAGGGAAGAACAUAUGUGUAAGUAACUGUGCACAUCUUGACGGUACCUAAUCAGAAAGCCACGGCUAACUACGUG
rnacentral:rRNA from 1 species